CUACGGGAUGCAGCAGUGGGGAAUAUUGGACAAUGGGCGCAAGCCUGAUCCAGCAAUGCCGCGCGUGUGAAGAAGGCCUGCGGGUUGUAAAGCACUUUCGGUUGGGAGGACUGCUUCUAGCACUAAUAUUGUUGGAAGUUGACGUUACCUUCAGAAGAAGCACCGGCUAGCUCCGUGCCAGCAGCCGCGGUAAUACGGGGGGUGCAAGCGUUAAUCGGAAUUACUGGGCGUAAAGCGCGCGUAGGCGGCUAGAUCAGUCGGGUGUGAAAGCCCCGGGCUUAACCUGGUAACUGCAUCCGAUACUGUCUAGAUUGAGUACAGGAGAGGAGAGUGGAAUUCCACAUGUAGCGGUGAAAUGCGUAGAUAUGUGGAGGAACACCAAUGGCGAAGGCAGCUCUCUGGCCUGAUACUGACGCUGAGGUGCGAAAGCGUGGGGAGCAAACAGGAUUAGAUACCCCCGUAGUC
rnacentral:rRNA from 1 species